rnacentral:ncRNA from 1 species
UCAAAGGCUGUGAAAAGAAGAGUAGAUUUAUUUUUACGUGGACAGAGAGCCCUUUUAUUGCUGAAAGAGGGUCACGGAAAAUUAUCGAAGAUGGUCUUGGAGCUUCGCACCGAAUGGGAGACCUUUAGGCUGCGACGGGAACACCCGUUAUCAUGAUAACCUGUAAUAAGUCCAAUAUAGACGGUCUGAAAGGGCAAGUUGGAUCAGCAGGAAAGAGGGCCCUAUCAGGGCUGAAUUAAAGUGGUACCGCGGGAAUAUGUUCUCGUCUUUAAA